AACUCAAAGGAAUUGACGGGGACCCGCACAAGCGGUGGAGCAUGUGGUUUAAUUCGAUGCAACGCGAAAAACCUUACCACUCCUUGACAUGGAGAUUAGAUCCUUCUUAACGGAAGGGCGCAGUUCGGCUGGAUCUCGCACAGGUGCUGCAUGGCUGUCGUCAGCUCGUGUCGUGAGAUGUUGGGUUAAGUCCCGCAACGAGCGUAACCCUCAUCCUUAGUUACCAGCGGGUAAGCCGGGCACUUUAAGGAAACUGCCGGUGGUAAACCGGAGGAAGGUGGGGAUGAUGUCAAGUCAGCACGGCCCUUAUGGGGUGGGCUACACACGUGCUACAAUGGUGACUACAAUAGGUUGCAAUGUCGCAAGGCUGAGCUAAUCCGUAAAAGUCAUCUCAGUUCGGAUUGUCCUCUGCAACUCGAGGGCAUGAAGUCGGAAUCGCUAGUAAUCGUGGAUCAGCAUGCCACGGUGAAUACGUUCUCGGGUCUUGUACACACUGCCCGUCACGCCAUGGGAAUUGGCUUAACUCGAAGCUGGUGCGC
rnacentral:rRNA from 1 species